rnacentral:rRNA from 1 species
UACGUAGGCAGCGAGCGUUGUUCGGAAUUACUGGGCGUAAAGAGUGUGUAGGCGGUGCUCUAAGUUCGGUGUGAAAUCUCCCGGACUUAACUGGGAGGGUGGCGGCCCGGAAACUAGGUGAGUGCUCGAGCGUGGGGAGAGGAAAGCGGAAUUCCUGGUGUAGCGGUGAAAUGCGUAGAUAUCAGGAGGAACACCUUGCGGUGUAGACGGCUUUCUGGACCAUUGCUGACGCUGAGACACGAAAGCGUGGGUAGCAAACAGG